CUGAACUAGUCACUGGGACCACAAAGAUGAUACAGUCUCUUUUCUCAUAGAAUUACAACCUUCAUAAGGAUAGCAGAAAGAAAAAUGUUACAGAUUCAAGUUCAGCUGAGUCUUUACAUAAUACAUGAUGUUCUGUUGAUUAUUUUUAUUUUUUUGAUGCCACUAUUAACAGCAACCAGUAAACAUUAUUUCCCCUCAAGCAGACUGGCUUCUAAACCUAACCACUUAAGUUUCUUCUUCUCCCUCAUUACCUCACAGUCUUCAUUUUGAAUAUUAAGUUUGGGGAUAUCUGAAGUAAUUGAAAUUGAGGGUUUUAAGAUCUAAGUGAAAAGCUUUACUUGGGUCAAAAGGCAGAUUUCCAACAAAUUUCUUUUCUUAUUCCAUCUAGUAUCUGUACAUGUUUUGAAAUUAAGGGUAUAUACAAAUGUGAAUUAUGAGGGGUUUUUUUCUUUGUUGUGUUUUUUUUUUUUUUUUUUUACUUUUUCCUUUGAGACAUUCUAAAAUAUUGUUAGGUGAUCUAAAUAAUUUAUUUUCUUUUUUCCAGCGGGUCCAUAUGGAAUAUUUGCUGGUAGGGAUGCCUCCAGAGGACUGGCCACAUUUUGCCUAGAUAAAGAUGCACUUAGAGAUGAAUAUGAUGAUCUCUCAGAUUUGAAUGCAGUACAAAUGGAGAGUGUUCGAGAAUGGGAAAUGCAGUUUAAAGAAAAAUAUGAUUAUGUAGGCAGACUCCUAAAACCAGGAGAAGAACCAUCAGAAUAUACAGAUGAAGAAGAUACCAAGGAUCACAAUAAACAGGAUUGAACUUUGUAAACAACCAAAGUCAGGGGCCUUCAGAACUGCAAUUCUUACUCCCUUUCACAGACUGUCCGGAGUCUUUGGGUUUGAUUCACCUGCUGCGAAAAACAUUCAACAAAUUGUGUACAAGAUAAAUUAAUCUCACUAUGAAGAUUUGAAUAACUAGACAUUAUUUAUGCUGCCAAACUCAUUUGUUGCAGUUGUUUGUAAUGUCUAGUGGGGCUUCAUCAUCCUGAAAAGAAGGAGACAGGGAUUUUUUUAAAGAGCAAGAAAGUCACAAUAUUACUUCUUUCCUUCCUUUUUUCCUUCUUUCCUUUCUUCUUUCUCUUUCUUUCUUUUUAAAAUAUAUUGAAGACAACCAGAUAUGUAUUUGCUACUCAAGUGUACAGAUCUCCUCAAGAAACAUCAAGGGACUCCUGUGUCACAUACUGUGUUUUUAUUUUAACAUGGGUGAGGGAGGCGACCUGAUCAGGGGAGGUGGGGGUACACAUCAAUUUGAGUUGUUCAGGCUACUGAAACAUUAAAAUGUGAAUUCCCAAACUUUUCUUUUUGGCUUUGUCAGGGAAAAGAAAAAUAUCUUUAUAAAGAAAUCUUUGGAAAUUAGGAGAAGGAAUUUCAGGUGGGUUUAAGUCAGAGCUAGUUCCCCAACAGAAAGAUCAUUUGAAACCAGUUUUUAUCCCUUCUCUUUCCUUCCCUUUCCCUAAAUCAAAUCAAUAUUAAUUGUGCCUUAUUUCACUUAACAUAGACUUGAAUUAUUUUUAGGGAAAGCCCCUAUAAUGAAUUCAGAAAUCACUACAAGCAGCAUUAAGACUGAAGUUGGAAUAUUCUGUUGACCAUAAAACCUUGAUAUCAUUCUGUGUAUAUAGAAUGUAAAAGGAAUAUUACAGUGUUAACUGCCAUAUAUGUAAUAUACACAAACUCAAUUAGCAUUGUAAUGGCCAAAUGCAUUCCCCCAUGCUUUUCUGUUUUCAAAAAAAUUGAAAAACAAAUCAACUCUUAUCCCCAACAGCUGCCUAAUUUUAGGAGUCUGACCCUCCACAUCUCACUGGUGUGGGUGCAUGGGGCUGUGGAGUGGGUGUCAGUAUGGAUGUGUCUGAAUGUGUGAGGCCUUGGAAGGGACUCUUUCUGCAGAUACUGUAAAUACAAGUACCAUUUUAAUAAAGCAUGUACAAUAAACCAAAAUAAGCUUGAGUUGGACUUUAUAUACAGAACUGUAAGCCAGUGCAUUAUGAUACAGUUGUAAGAUUGUGCAUUUGAUUCAAGAUAAGGAAAAAUCUUGGAAAUGAAAAGCAGGCACUGGUUAACCAAGUUGUACACAUUGUACCACAUUCAGCAUAACUUUAGGAAGAAAUUCCACUUUGUGGAACAUUCUCCAGAAAUCCAAGAUUAUUCAGGUAAGAAUUGGUAUAUUAAAUGUACAUCUUUUUACUUUCUAUUUUGAUGCCAACUGAUUAUACUAGACAAUUAGCACUCCAGGUGGUUAUUGAACACAAAACAGUAAAAGAAUAUUGCACUGAUAGAUACUAAAUUAUUAUUUUAUUAGGUUGAAAAAGCCCUUACUAAAAGCCCCUCAUAUAUCAAUUACUUUAUUUCAUUAUGACUACUUAGGUUCCGGGCUGGGGACAAGUUCACUUAAAAAGGCAAUGUUAUUUAACAGGUCACCAGUUAAGACUUCUGCUUUGUAGAUACAUGCAGAAGCCAUCAAACAAGGGGGAGCUUUUAACUGCAACAAUAAGCUAAAGUAUGUAAAAUACUACAUUCUAUUCAGUCUUGGAGUGUUUUGUAGAAAGUUAUCUUCAGCCAAAUCUUUGCUGAAGACUGGUUGUGGAGUGUUGGUAAAUGCUUUGUGUUUUUAUGUAAAAUAUUUUCUAAACAAAAAAUGUUAAAAGUACAUGUCCUCUGUAGUAAACUGAUAUCUAUAUAUAUGAAUCAUUCAAGCCUAAAGUCUAGUAAUAAACUGUACUUGUGAAUAGAGAAACCCUAAAUAUUCAUGCAGAAAAAAUUAUGCGGUCUGUUAAGAAAAAUGAGUAAUUUGUGUUUUGGACUUGAAAUAAACAGUGUUCUGU
rnacentral:lncRNA from 1 species